AGCAGCCGCGGUAAUUCCAGCUCCAAUAGCGUAUAUUAAAGUUGUUGCAGUUAAAAAGCUUGUAGUUGAAUUUUGGGGUCAGUAGGUCGGUCGUGCCAUUGGUAUGAACUGGUUUUACUGAUUCCUCCCUCUUGAAGAACUGUAAUGCCAUUAAUUUGGUGUUGCAGGGAAUCAGGACUGUUACUUUGAAAAAAUUAGAGUGUUUAAAGCAGGCUUUAGCUUGAAUACAUUAGCAUGGAAUAAUGAAAUAGGACGUUUGAUCCUAUUUUGUUGGUUUCUAGGAUUGACGUAAUGAUUAAUAGGGAUAGUUGGGGGCAUUAGUAUUCAAUUGUCAGAGGUGAAAUUCUUGGAUUUAUUGAAGACUAACUACUGCGAAGGCAUUUGCCAAGGAUGUUUUCAUUAAUCAAGAACGAAAGUUAGGGGAUCGAAGACGAUCAGAUACCGUCGUAGUCUUAACCAUAAACUAUGCCGACUAGGGAUCGGAUGAUGUUAAUUUUUUAAUGACUCAUUCGGCGCCUUACG
rnacentral:rRNA from 1 species